GCGGCAACCUGAAACAAUACGACAGUCAUUCAUCUACACAGGUUCACUGAUUUUUCAUCAAUAAUCUUGAAUGGACGACGAUAUGAAACGAGCGGAUUUACGAAAAAUUCGCGGCGAAAUUGGAAAAACGUGAUCCAAAUGCAGCCGCGUAAUUAACGAUUUCAAGUCGGGCUAAUAAAUUACCUUGGAUCAUCUGUGUCAACUGCAUGCAUAUUAAAUAGCACGAUAUUAAAACUACAUAGAAUUAUAAAUAAUUUAUAGAUUUUUCGCGCAGUUACCUUAAUUAGCAAUUAAGAUGUCACAAGGAUGUAAACAGUUGUCACAAGGAUGUUUUCACAGACAUUGUGUUUUUUAUCCGUUGGCUGGAAAAAACAAGAUACUGAACUUGUUGCGUAAGUGUUUUAACAUAGAAAAUUACUUAGUCCCUUUUAUCUAAACUGUUUUAUGAUGCUCGAAAAAAAUAAAAGCAUGUGGAUACCAGACUUAUCAUUAUAAUAUGAAAUAUAUUAUUUCUGUGUUCUGUAAGAUCUAGAGGCACAUUUAUAUUGAUGUAUGUGUCAAUAUUAUAUCUAUCAUAUUAUUGAUAGCUUUCUUAUGUACUUAUAUAAACAAAAGAACUGGUAGGAUCUAUGUAGUUAGUUAACAUACUAACAAUAUUAGUCAUUUAGCCUGUGAUUGUAAUGUGCAAUGGAAUCUAAUGUUACUGGUUGGUAAGUUAUUGUACAUCGAAUUAUUGGUGAAUCUUAUUCCAAUUAUACGAACGCUUACAAUUUUGCGUACGUUAGUAAGCAAAAGAAUGGGUAACAUACGUUCGAAUACAGUUAUUCGAACAUACUCUCCGGUUAUUUCAGUGACAAAUUAUAGAUAGUGAAGAAAAUCAGCGAUCUCCUGUUAUAAGAUGUCCAGUUAUCCAAAUCGUUUCCUCAGGUAUAAGUAGAAUUAAGUAAAAAUAACGACAAGUAGGAUCCUACUGUCUACUACCCAUGUACAUAAUUCUACUUAGCAUAAUUCUACCACGAAAAUUUGAAACAUAUUGGAAUUCCAAAAGAAAUAAUGACUUCCUCAAGUAGGAGUAAAAGAUAGUGCAAACUUUUGAGCAGACAAAAAUGAAAAGAUCCGAUCGUUUAACAAAAUUUUAAAUCCAUGGCCGAAAGAAGUUACUAAUUUAAAAAUCGAUACGGUUAAAGAGUUAAUAAUCAUUGAGCCAUUACUUGGCCGAUAUGGCGUGCGUCGAAACUGUUAUUGUAACAGCACUUUAAUCGGGCACGGGUGAAGCAAACGACGCUGAAACACAAAGUUUUCGAUGGAAUUGGAACGUCCGACGAUGAUUUCCGAAUCGUUAAACGGAAACUAUUCGCAUUAAAGAAGAAACCGACCGGUUGGGAGGGAAAAAUAAGAGGACCCCAGUUGCUGCGUGGUCGUGACAGUCGAGGUAUCCAAUUUGUGGAGUUAAUAGAAGUUUGAUCAAGCCUUGUUUCAAAUUGAAUGCCAAACUAUGGAUUGCUGCCGGUCGAUAGGACUUUUAUCGAAACGUUAAUGUUUUUUCGAUCGAUCGUCCGACACCGGUCGGGUCUCGUUUGAUGAACGAACGCGAUCCUGUUCUCUGUAUCACGAAAUUCAAUUGAAACUGCGAAUAAUAAUACUACCGAUUGUAGCCGUAAUAAUAAUGGCAAACUCGAUGGCGGUAAUAGGAACGCUGUAUCGCUGCGUUUCUGUUUAUUUCGUAUAAAUCGCCGCUUAUCGAAAUUGGAACGUAACACUUCACUUUUUUAUCAUACUGUAAGGUACUUUCCACAGUCGUAUACGUAUCGCCUUCUCAAUUUUUUCAUAUUUCAGGGGCUUACGGGUAAAGUAUGUCACAAGUGAAAAUGACUUGAAUUUGAAAAAUUGUGAUCAAGUAGACUACGGAUUUCUGUGCAUUUAUACGAAAUCUCAAGAAAUGGAAAAAUAAAGAAUUGUAAAAAUAGAAUAUGGUAGAAUACAUACAAUACGGAAAAAUACAUCAAAUUUCCAAGAUAGUGUAUUUGCCGUUAUUUUUUUUAUAGAUGUUAUAAAUUUCUAUUCAGAUUCUAUUUCUUUCCUUGUACUGGCAAAAGUGUAAAUUUGCAUAAUAAUCCUCAGUCCAAUACGUAAUUAGAUUUCAUCGAUAUCGAUAAAUAAUUAAUAAAUGUUAUAAUAUCUCAGAUGUAAUUGUUAAAUUUGUUGCAGGUAUGUUGUAGAUACCGUGUCGUUAAAUUAAAGGCAAAUUAACAGAGCAGUGGUGUAUAAUACACGCGUGGAAGAAUUUACGUAAAGUGCUACAUGCGCGUGUGCGCGGUACGCUCCGAUUCGAUUGAUGCGCGGAAAGUUAACGGGAAGAGACAAACAGCCGAAUCUGUUACGUGAAACGGGCCCUCGUGUGCGCCUGGUUCCCUCGAGAUUACUUCCUAGAUAACUAUAUACAUUUUUACGUUUUAUUCUUUUUUACGAAAGAACCGCACCCGUCUCUUUUAUGGCGCCGUAAAUUCUUUAUUUCUCACUGGCGCUUUUGGCAGGAUGACAUGGAUUUGUCUCCGCAUAUGGGAUGCCAUACAAGUUAAUAACUUCCUGUAUAGCCUGUUGAUGAAGAAAUCUUGAAUUUACUAACGAUCGAACGUUGAGGCCUUGGGAUGGUAUAAAUUAACGAAAUCUGAUUUGGAAAGAUUUAUAUCUGAUUAUCGGAUAGUUUAUUCAUUAUAUUCUCUUGUAUCGAUAUACAUAUUGUUGGUAUACUAGUCUUACUUAUAUUUUAUACUCCUGCGAUUAAUUUAUUGCACGUCAUAAAUUAUAGUUUUUUAUAUUAUA